GAAACCUCCUACUUGAAAGUAAGUGGAGAGACCUCCUCUGUGCUCCCCUCUGAGAACAGGUUUCCAACAGUUUGAAUGAGGCCCAUGCACAUUGAGAAUAGAAAAAUAUUCCUGAAGUUGGAGAGUGCGAGGACAAACGGAGGAAACAGCAUCACUGGAGUUCUGUAUGGAGCCAGCGUAACCUGCCUUGUAAGCAGAGUUUUGAGAAAUGGCAUCUGCGUAGAGAAGACAAGACUGAGACUGACCGCGGGGGAAGGCACGAAAGCACUCUUUCUACCGGCGUGGAGAAUGUGCGCGUGCUCUGCUGCUAUGUUGUGAAGACCCAGGAGGGAAAUGAUUGUAGUGGAGAUAAGGGACCAACACGUCAGCACCGGCUUCCUCUUCGCCUGACAAUGCCCAGCGUUCCCCGGUGUGUGGGCGGCGCUGCUCCUGUUCGCGCAGUCUGUGCUGAAGGCAGAGCAGACCAUCUGCAGGUGCACUCUAGACAUCUACAAGGUCGGAAUGAGUGGAUCACGACUCUGCUUCUCCGUACACUUCUCUUGACCUUAACGUUCACUCAUAUUUUCCCUUCCCUGAGCCUUCUGAACAUAGUUUCAUCUUGAUUAAUUUUCCUUAAUGCCAUUCAUGUUAAUUGGAGAAAUUAUUAAAAUCUGAAAUGAAACCUAGUACUAUGUUUCUUCAGUGUGAAUUUCAAGUUAGAAUAUUUUAAAUUCAUGAAUCUCUCUGGUAAAAAUAAAAUAUUUUAUGUCC